rnacentral:lncRNA from 1 species
UUCUACUAUCAUGAGUUUUGAUAGAAUCGAGGUUAAGGUAAACUCGUCAAACCUCAUAUCUAUUAUAUGAUGAUUAAUAUGAUCAUUUGAUUUGAGUCCGAUAUGAAAUUCAAUACAAAUUCUUUUCUAUCUUUCACACUACCAUAGUCAUAGAUUUUUGGACUCAAUCGUAUGAUCUAUAUAGGACUACUCCUCUACCAAAGUUGAUAGAUCCCAUCUUAGUGCAGUCCAAUUCCUACAAUGAAUUUACUACAGCUAACAUACAUCUCAAGACUCUAUAUGGCAUGG